AAUAAUUGACUAUCAUAAAUCUAAUUAUCGUCGGAGCUUUGAGUCGUGUUUAACUAUUUAUCAAGUUAUAGAGGAGUGUUUGUAUUUUUUUCUCCCCGUUGCGACGCACGGGUAUAUUUUAGUAAAGGCAAAACAGCGGAAAAAAGUGAGCCAAGUUGAUUUAUACGGUAGACUUACACAACUACACCAGGAUUCUGCAACGGCCCACCUCGCGGUGGCAUCAAGAUAACUGGGCUGC
rnacentral:lncRNA from 1 species